rnacentral:rRNA from 1 species
UACCGCGGCUGCUGGCACAGAGUUAGCCGGUGCUUCUUCUAUGGGUUACGUCAAGACCCCGACGUAUUAGGUCGAGGCUUUUCUUCCCCACCGAAAGGGCUUUACAACCCGCAGGCCUUCUUCACCCACGCGGCGUCGCUGGAUCAGGGUUUCCCCCAUUGUCCAAUAUUCCCCACUGCUGCCUCCCGUAGGAGUCUGGGCCGUGUCUCAGUCCCAGUGUGGCUGGUCGUCCUCUCAGACCAGCUACGGAUCGUCGCCUUGGUGGGCCGUUACCCCACCAACUAGCUAAUCCGACUUGGGCUCAUCUAUUAGCGCAAGGUCUUGCGAUCCCCUGCUUUCCUCCGUGGAGCGUAUGCGGUAUUAGCCCGAGUUUCCCCGGGUUGUCCCCCACUAAUAGGCAGAUUCCCAAGCGUUACUCACCCGUCCGCCUCUCGUCGCCAGGUUGCCCCGCGUUACCGAUCGACUUGCAUGUGUUAGGCACGCCGCCAGCGUUCAAUCUGAGCCAUGAUCAAACUC